UACAGAGGUGGCAAGCGUUGUUCGGAAUUACUGGGCGUAAAGGGCGCGUAGGCGGAUGGUACAGUCAGAUGUGAAAAUUCCCCGGGCUCAACCUGGGGGCUGCAUUUGAUACGUAUGAUCUUGAGUGGGGAAGAGGGUCGUGGAAUUCCCAGUGUAGAGGUGAAAUUCGUAGAUAUUGGGAAGAAACACCGGUGGCGAAGGCGGCGACCUGGUCCUUAUACUGACGCUGAGGCGCGAAAGCGUGGGGAGCAAACAGG
rnacentral:rRNA from 1 species